UUGAAUAAAUUGAUAAGAGAUUUGCUGCUUCUCAUCUCCAGUGGAGAUAGACGAUUUGGUGACAUUCUCUGGUGGGCUACAGGAGGUGGGGGGAACAUCGUGAGGAAGAGAUCCCUUAGAUGUCCUUUCCACCUUUUUGUUGAGUUCUGGUAGAGAAAAAACACUGGUUAGGCAAGGUGGCCCAUCACCACCUUGUGGGUUUGUCCUUCUAAGGCUCCCUUGAACUUAACCUCUGCUUGGCGGAGACCCGAGGAUCUCCUGGUCGACGCCCAGAAGAUGCUCUGUGUUGAACCCGACCUUCCCACGGCCCAAACAGGCAAACAAAUGGCGUCCCUUGGAAAGAAUCAGUGUAGCCUGGCUAGAAGCCUGGCUGGAAGCUCGGCAGCGGGCUAGGAGUAGGGAGUACGACGGGGAUAAGUCUAGCGGCUGCACCCAAGAAAAUAGGGGUGUCCACUGCACCUGCAAACCCCACGCGCGCCUCGGCUUGGCCCCCUGCACCCCAGCCGGCUGCCCACCCUGGAGAGGCUGCCUGGGGGGCAGCAGUGUGUGUGUGUGUGUGUGUGUGUGUGUGUGUGUGUGCGUGUGUGUGUGUGUGUGUGUGUGUGUGUGUGGAGGUGGGGGGGGGGUGUCGGCGGCCGCUACAAGGAGGCGGCGAGGAGGCUGGGGAGGGGGGCGCGGCGGGCGGUGGCGCGGUCCAGGGGGAGGCGGGCGGAGGGAAGGCGCUGCCGCCGCCGCCUCACCCGCGGCGACACAGACGCCGGGAGCGGCCGAGGCGAGUGACUUCUUCUGACUUGAGCUUGCAGUGUGCUUUGAGAGAUCCUCUACCAGAUCACCUCCAGCUUUGGUCCCCUGGCACCACCCAUUAGCGACAGUCAUAAGGUAAGUGUACAUUUUAAACUCUGUUUCAAUCAGUUGUUGAUGGAAAUAUCAGUUUUGUUCAGUGGUUUCCACCAGAAACAGUUUCAUUCAAUGAAAGUAGCUGUUAUAUAGAUAAUAGUAUGUGUAUGUGUGUGUAUAUAUAUAUAUAUAUAUAUAUCUCCUGUGGGUUAUUUACACUUGCUUUCUCAUGUGUCCUCUUUCCUCCCCCCACGUCCAUCUUUUUUUAAAAAAUAAACCUCAGAAAAACUAGGUAAGAUAGGCUGUUUCAGUAUGCUUCUGUGAGCAAAUCAGUGAAACGUGUCCAGUGGCAUAGGGAACAGACAGGGCUUUGAUACUUCUCAGGUGCUGUGCUCUUCUCCUGGUCUCAUCCCCUUGACUUGGAUGCCAGCAAUAGGUUUGGUUUUUAAAGGCCUGUCCACUCUGACACUAGAGAAAACCUCAGGGGUCCUAUUUCUGGCAAGCUGCUUAUUUAUUCAUCUUGCUACUUUAACUCAGCAUCUGUGUUUUGUUUUGUUUUCAGUAAAAUUUAAAGCUCUGAAACAGAGUUAGCUAUGUAUUGGGUUGGCCAAAAAGUUUUUGGAAAAAGCCAAACAAAGUUUUUGGCCAACCCAAUAUAUUUUAACAUGUAAAACCCUGUGAAUUCACUUGACUUAAUUCCACAUCUUAACAACAAAAAAGCCCAAAAUACCACUUCUCAAAUUGUAAUGUGCUUAUAUGUCAACAAAGUAACUAUGAGAUAAAGGAAAAUAUACAAAAACCAUUUCAUAGAUUUUUGUUUCAGUUUUAAAAAGUCAUGCUUGGAAAAAUUGCAUUAUAUUAAGUCAAAUUAUCUUUUGUGCUGUGCUUCGUCACUCAGUCCUGUCCAAUUCUUUGUGACCCCAUAGACUGUAGCCCGCCAGGCUCCUCUGUCCAUGGGGAGUAUCCAGACAAGAGUACAGGAGUGGGUAGCCAUUCCCUUCUCCAGGGGAUCUUCCCAAUUCAGGGAUAGAACCCAUGUCUGCUGCAUUGCAUGCGGAUUCUUUACCAUCUGAGCCACCAGGGAAUCCCAUCUUUUAUAUAAUGAUUUGUAUCAUUAAAAUGUACAGGUUAUUAUGGGUAAGAAAAAAAUUCAGAAUCUGUCUUAGAUCAGAAUUCUUAUAUUGCCAGAACUAAAAAUAGCAUAAUAACUAUUGUUUGUGGGAUAUCCAGAGGUUCAGUAUUUCCUUACCAGUGAAAUAUAUUGCUUCUAUCUAUGUUCAAAGGGGCAAAUCUAUUAAUUCUUUGGUAAAGUUCAUAGUUCUGCUCUAACUGUAUUCAGUUCCCUGGUAAAUGCUUGGAGGAAUAUGAGUCCUUGGUUUAUUGACUGAGAUACCUUCUGAGAUGAUUAAUAUACCAUCAAAUACAUAGAAGUCGGUGAAAUAUUACAUGUUUUCCUAACAUGUCCAUUGGAACAUCUUUUCUUCUUGAAUUACUCCAAUAUUUUUUUUUAAUAUAAGGAGGAUUUUUUAAACCCCCAAAUUGUGCAUUUCUUAGUAUUUAUUUCUAAUGAAAGUAACGUUCUGAUAUUUAAGAAUUAAAUGAUAUGAGUUGGGAUAUUUUUUUCUUUUUUCUUUCUUUUUACACAUCUCCCAAGAGGGCUUUGACCCUGUUGAUCAUUUUGAAACUGUAGUAGUAGGCUAAUUAGAUUGUUUGGUACUCACAGAGGUUCUAAAAUCCACUUUUUCUCAAAGAGAGGUUAUAAAUGUGAGAAACAAAAUCUGAGAGACCACCCCUCUCUUGUGUCCAUUGGCGAUGGGGUUCACUAGACCACAUACCACCACCCCCCUUACUCCAAGCCUUCUCAAUCAGGCUCUUUCUGCUACAAUCUCCUCCAGGCUAAUCAACACUUUUGAUCAUUCCUUUCUUCUGAACUAUGAAUCUAACCAGGACACUAUUGGUUAGAUAGUUGGGACAAUAGUCUGAAUUGUUGUCUGCUUAUUGUAAUUUCUUUU
ensembl:lncRNA